GCCACGAGGUCACGGUUCACUCCCGGGGUCAGGGGCAUGUUCCGGCUCGCCAGCCCUGUUUCUUGCUCAGGAAAAAGUGCCUGUGAUUCUGGCAGGAGAGAGGGGAGUUCAACAGCUUCACUCACGGCAGCUGCCAGGAGAAGUGCAUCGCAGAGGGGAACAGAACCUCCGCGCUAAACAGCGCGUCUCCCAGCCAGGCGCCUCCCAAGCCGAAUUCAGCCCAAGCGGGGUUCCAGCCCUGAUGCCUGCACUCUCCAUGUCUUCUUCUGGGUCCUCGGCACGUAGUGGUCAGAACAGGGUGGAAGGCAGAGCCCCAGAGAAGCCUUUCAAGACCUUCGCAGACCCACCUGGUUCCACUUACAUGAACAUUUCGUGGCUGCUGUUCAGCCAGAUGGGAGCCCCCUCUAUGCCCUCACAGCCAUCUAUUACAUCCUCAAGGGUCAUGAGACCCUCUCCAGCGUCUCGGAAGGCAGUGUGACAUGGCAGAAAGGACCCGACAGCUCCAGGCUUGAAUCCCAGCUCCGCAGAUCUUGGGCAAGCCAUCUAACUUCCUAGAGACUCAGUUUCGGAUCUGCAGAAUCAAGACAGCCACAGCCGGCGCCCAGGCUUGUGAAAGUUAAGUAAGGCCAUGUCUGCGAAGUAUCCAGCACCCAGUAGGUGUGCCACCAACAGAUUCCACUCCCCUCCACCCCAGCUCAUUCUCCUCAUCCCCUAGUCGUUAAGCUGUCAGAACCUACGAGAUCUGCCUGGUCUUGGUGAACCCACGUUGGCUCCGGGGAUCACUGCCUUCUUUUCUAAGUGUGGCAGCUUCCACCAUCCAUACUAGACCCUCCCACUAAUUUGAGCACAGCCAAAGAUCUGGAUCUUUUUCAUGGGAAAUCUUGUCCAGGCAGCCUUCCUGGCUCUGUGCAGUUUUUUAAAUAACAGUAGCAAUAACCUUAAUCCUUCCAAUUCCACUAUGAAAUAAAAAG